rnacentral:rRNA from 1 species
UUGAAGAGUUUGAUCAUGGCUCAGAUUGAACGCUGGCGGCAGGCCUAACACAUGCAAGUCGAACGGUAACAGGAAGCAGCUUGCUGCUUUGCUGACGAGUGGCGGACGGGUGAGUAAUGUCUGGGAAACUGCCUGAUGGAGGGGGGGAUAACUACUGGAAACGGUAGCUAAUACCGCAUAACGUCGCAAGACCAAAGAGGGGGGACCUUCGGGCCUCUUGCCAUCGGAUGUGCCCAGAUGGGAUUAGCUAGUAGGUGGGGUAACGGCUCACCUAGGCGACGAUCCCUAGCUGGUCUGAGAGGAUGACCAGCCACACUGGAACUGAGACACGGUCCAGACUCCUACGGGAGGCAGCAGUGGGGAAUAUUGCACAAUGGGCGCAAGCCUGAUGCAGCCAUGCCGCGUGUAUGAAGAAGGCCUUCGGGUUGUAAAGUACUUUCAGCGGGGAGGAAGGGAGUAAAGUUAAUACCUUUGCUCAUUGACGUUACCCGCAGAAGAAGCACCGGCUAACUCCGUGCCAGCAGCCGCGGUAAUACGGAGGGUGCAAGCGUUAAUCGGAAUUACUGGGCGUAAAGCGCACGCAGGCGGUUUGUUAAGUCAGAUGUGAAAUCCCCGGGCUCAACCCGGGAACUGCAUCUGAUACUGGCAAGCUUGAGUCUCGUAGAGGGGGGGUAGAAUUCCAGUGUAGCGGUGAAAUGCGUAGAGAUCUGGAGGAAUACCGGUGGCGAAGGCGGCCCCCUGGACGAAGACUGACGCUCAGGUGCGAAAGCGUGGGGAGCAAACAGGAUUAGAUACCCACGGUAGUCCACGCCGUAAACGAUGUCGACUUGGAGGUUGUGCCCUUGAGGCGUGGCUUCCGGAGCUAACGCGUUAAGUCGACCGCACUGGGGAGUACGGCCGCAAGGUUAAAACUCAAAUGAAUUGACGGGGGGCCCGCACAAGCGGUGGAGCAUGUGGUUUAAUUCGAUGCAACGCGAAGAACCUUACACGGGUCUUGACAUCCACGGAAGUUUUCAGAGAUGAGAAUGUGCCUUCGGGAACCGUGAGACAGGUGCUGCAUGGCUGUCGUCAGCUCGUGUUGUGAAAUGUUGGGUUAAGUCCCGCAACGAGCGCAACCCUUAUCCUUUGUUGCCAGCGGUCCGGCCGGGAACUCAAAGGAGACUGCCAGUGAUAAACUGGAGGAAGGUGGGGAUGACGUCAAGUCAUCAUGGCCCUUACGACCAGGGGCUACACACGUGCUACAAUGGCGCAUACAAAGAGAAGCGACCUCGCGAGAGCAAGCGGACCUCAUAAAGUGCGUCGUAGUCCGGAUUGGAGUCUGCAACUCGACUCCAUGAAGUCGGAAUCGCUAGUAAUCGUGGAUCAGAAUGCCACGGUGAAUACGUUCCCGGGCCUUGUACACACCGCCCGUCACACCAUGGGAGUGGGUUGCAAAAGAAGUAGGUAGCUUAACCUUCGGGAGGGCGCUUACCACUUUGUGAUUCAUGACUGGGGUGAAGUCGUAACAAGGUAACCGUAGGGGAACCUGCGGUUGGAUCACCUCCUU